UACGUAGGGUGCAAGCGUUGUCCGGAAUUAUUGGGCGUAAAGAGCUCGUAGGCGGUUUGUCGCGUCUGCUGUGAAAACUGGAGGCUCAACCUCCAGCCUGCAGUGGGUACGGGCAGACUAGAGUGCGGUAGGGGAGAUUGGAAUUCCUGGUGUAGCGGUGGAAUGCGCAGAUAUCUGGAGGAACACCGGUGGCGAAGGCGGCAUCCUGGACCGACACUGACGCUGAGGAGCGAAAGCCAGGGGAGCAAACGGG
rnacentral:rRNA from 1 species